GAUGUGAAAUCCCCGAGCUUAACUUGGGAAUUGCAUUCGAUACUGGGAAGCUAGAGUAUGGGAGAGGAUGGUAGAAUUCCAGGUGUAGCGGUGAAAUGCGUAGAUAUCUGGAGGAAUACCGAUGGCGAAGGCAGCCAUCUGGCCUAAUACUGACGCUGAGGUACGAAAGCAUGGGGAGCAAACAGGAUUAAAUACCCUGGUAGUCCAUGCCGUAAACGAUGUCUACUAGCCGUUGGGGCCUUUGAGGUUUUAGUGGCGCAGCUAACGCGAUAAAUAGACCGCCUGGGGAGUACGGUCGCAAGACUAAAACUCAAAUGAAUUGACGGGGGCCCGCACAAGCGGUGGAGCAUGUGGUUUAAUUCGAUGCAACGCGAAGAACCUUACCUGGUCUUGACAUAGUAAGAACUUUCCAGAGAUGGAUUGGUGCCUUCGGGAACUUACAUACAGGUGCUGCAUGGCUGUCGUCAGCUCGUGUCGUGAGAUGUUGGGUUAAGUCCCGCAACGAGCGCAACCCUUUUCCUUAUUUGCCAGCACUUCGGGUGGGAACUUUAAGGAUACUGCCAGUGACAAACUGGAGGAAGGCGGGG
rnacentral:rRNA from 1 species